UACGGAGGAUGCGAGCGUUAUCCGGAUUUAUUGGGUUUAAAGGGUGCGUAGGCGGAUAUUUAAGUGGGAUGUGAAAUACUCGGGCUUAACCUGGGUGCUGCAUUCCAAACUGGAUAUCUAGAGUGCAGGAGAGGAAAGGAGAAUUCCUAGUGUAGCGGUGAAAUGCGUAGAGAUUAGGAAGAAUACCAGUGGCGAAGGCGCCUUUCUGGACUGUAACUGACGCUGAGGUUCGAAAGUGUGGGUAGCAAAC
rnacentral:rRNA from 1 species